rnacentral:rRNA from 1 species
UACGUAGGCAGCAAGCGUUGUUCGGAAUUACUGGGCGUAAAGAGCGUGUAGGCGGCUUCACAGGUCCGCUGUGAAAACUCGAGGCUCAACCUCGAGCUGUCGGUGGAAACCGUGUGGCUAGAGUCCGGAAGAGGAGAGUGGAAUUCCCGGUGUAGCGGUGAAAUGCGCAGAUAUCGGGAAGAACACCCGUGGCGAAGGCGGCUCUCUGGGACGGUACUGACGCUGAGACGCGAAAGCGUGGGGAGCGAACAGG